rnacentral:rRNA from 1 species
GAACGGGUGAGUAACACGUGGGCAAUCUGCCCUUCACUCUGGGACAAGCCCUGGAAACGGGGUCUAAUACCGGAUACGACACGGGGUCGCAUGACCUCCGUGUGGAAAGCUCCGGCGGUGAAGGAUGAGCCCGCGGCCUAUCAGCUUGUUGGUGGGGUGAUGGCCUACCAAGGCGACGACGGGUAGCCGGCCUGAGAGGGCGACCGGCCACACUGGGACUGAGACACGGCCCAGACUCCUACGGGAGGCAGCAGUGGGGAAUAUUGCACAAUGGGCGAAAGCCUGAUGCAGCGACGCCGCGUGAGGGAUGACGGCCUUCGGGUUGUAAACCUCUUUCAGCAGGGAAGAAGCGAGAGUGACGGUACCUGCAGAAGAAGCGCCGGCUAACUACGUGCCAGCAGCCGCGGUAAUACGUAGGGCGCAAGCGUUGUCCGGAAUUAUUGGGCGUAAAGAGCUCGUAGGCGGCUUGUCACGUCGGAUGUGAAAGCCCGGGGCUUAACCCCGGGUCUGCAUUCGAUACGGGCAGGCUAGAGUUCGGUAGGGGAGAUCAGAAUUCCUGGUGUAGCGGUGAAAUGCGCAGAUAUCANGANGAACACGGGUGGCGAAAGCGGAUCUCUGGGCCGAUACUGACNCUGAGNAGCGAAG